UCCUUUCAAUCCUCCUCCUCCCCACCGCACGUGCACUGACCAGCCGGUGGCGGGCGGCCUCAGUGCUGGACUGCACUGCCCACAUCUGCAUCUCGUGGAGCCCUCAACCCUCAGGCACUCUAUACUCCACACUCUUUCCGAGCACAGAGCGUGCGGUGUGAGAUUGGGCGGCGCGGAUGCGCACGCAAGAGCCUGGUCAGGCAGCGCGUGCGUGCGGGGCCGUCACCAACCGGCGCCGGCAGCAGCACUGCAGGAGCAGGCGGCAGGUGUUGGCACGUGGGCAAACGACGUGAACGGCAACCUAGCAGAAGCAAGCAGCAGGAGGAAGCAGCGGCAACACCGGCCGCAAUAACCGAGGAAUCAUCCGAUAUAGGGGAUACUAAAGAAACCGUGGCAAAUCAAGUAACUGAAGUGAUGAUAGAUAUAGACAAGGUAGAUGAGCAUCAGCCUGUGGACGUAGAGAAAGAAGUCUUUGUUCUGUCAAAAGUGAGCUUCGGUUUUGUUCAGUGCCACCGAAAAACCGAACCAAGAAAGUGAUAUUUUUGGUGUCAGUUUUUGGUUUUCUGGAAGAACGAUCAGUUUUAAAUUUCAAAAAAUUGAAUGGCCAGUCCUAUCUGCCAUCCAACGUCAACAACAGACUCAGAGAGACUCACGAAUGCAGGGCUGGGCGGCCGGGUAGCUGCAGCUCGUGUUCAAUGACGGGACCUUGGAGCUCAAGGCAAACACCACCAGCGGUUGGAUUAAACACCUUUUGGGGGCCGGCGCCCGCGCUACAAGAUUCAACAGUUUUACCGAGAGUUUGAGUUGAGUGGGCGAGAGGGAUCAAUUUGUUUAAUAUUUAUCUUCUCUAAUGGACGACACUAGCGGAAAUCGACUAUA